CGCCCGCGACUCGGCGAGAAGUCCAUUGAACCUUAUCAUUUAGAGGAAGGAGAAGUCGUAACAAGGUUUCCGUAGGUGAACCUGCGGAAGGAUCAUUG
rnacentral:rRNA from 7 species